CCUACGGGGGGCAGCAGUGGGGAAUAUUGGACAAUGGGCGAAAGCCUGAUCCAGCCAUGCCGCGUGUGUGAAGAAGGCCUUCGGGUUGUAAAGCACUUUCAGUGGGGAAGAAAGCCUUGGGGCUAAUACCCUCGAGGAAGGACAUCACCCACAGAAGAAGCACCGGCUAACUCCGUGCCAGCAGCCGCGGUAAUACGGAGGGUGCGAGCGUUAAUCGGAAUUACUGGGCGUAAAGCGCGCGUAGGCGGUCUGAUAAGCCGGUUGUGAAAGCCCCGGGCUCAACCUGGGAUCGGCAUCCGGAACUGUCAGGCUAGAGUGCAGGAGAGGAAGGUAGAAUUCCCGGUGUAGCGGUGAAAUGCGUAGAGAUCGGGAGGAAUACCAGUGGCGAAGGCGGCCUUCUGGACUGACACUGACGCUGAGGUGCGAAAGCGUGGGUAGCAAACAGGAUUAGAUACCCCAGUAGUC
rnacentral:rRNA from 1 species